rnacentral:rRNA from 1 species
ACCCGCUGAACUUAAGCAUAUCAAUAAGCGGAGGAAAAGAAACCAACGGGGAUUGCCCCAGUAACGGCGAGUGAAGCGGCAAUAGCUCAAAUUUGAAAUCUGGCCCUUUUAGGGUCCGAGUUGUAAUUUGCAGAGGGCGCUUUGGAGUCGGCAGCAGCCUAAGUUCCUUGGAACAGGUCAUCAUAGAGGGUGAGAAUCCCGUAUGUGGCUGCUUGCCUUCGCCGUGUAAAGCCCCUUCGAUGAGUCGAGUUGUUUGGGAAUGCAGCUCUAAAUGGGAGGUAAAUUUCUUCUAAAGCUAAAUAUUGGCCAGAGACCGAUAGCGCACAAGUAGAGUGAUCGAAAGAUGAAAAGCACUUUGGAAAGAGAGUCAAAAAGCACGUGAAAUUGUUGAAAGGGAAGCGCUUGCAGCCAGACGUGCCCGCAGUUGCUCAUCCAGGAAUUUUCCUGGUGCACUCUUCUGUGGGCAGGCCAGCAUCAGUUCGGGCGGUUGGAUAAUGGCCUCUAUCACGUAACUGUCUUCGGAUUGUCCUUAUAGGGGAGGUGUCAUACAACCAGCUCGAACUGAGGUCCGCGCAUCUGCUAGGAUGCUGGCGUAAUGGCUGUAAGCGGCCCGUCUUGAAACACGG